CCACGUCGAAUCAGCAAGCAUCAAUACGAAGUUGCUUCCAUCUCAGGAAUUUUUUAAACGUUUCUCAAGAGCGGGAUAUCGAAGUAGUAGAGCCAAGUUGUGAACAAUCGUCAUUGUUUUGCAUUAUUUAUUGUUUCGAAAAUGUACCAUGUGUGUAACCGCGUGUCGCGAGUGUCAGAUAAAUAGACGGUCGUGUUGUAAUCAAUUAGUGUCACAAGUUCGAGACAACGCUGUAUUAACGAAGUGCACGGCGAUCGACUUGUAUUGCUAAGAGGAAGCAAGUGUUCUUGCACACUUUCCUUAAAGAACUGUGACAGUUCUGGACCAUUCCGCAUUGCGCUGCAAUUUCGACUGUAUGUUAAUGCUAUUCCCGUGAGAUAUCCGAGGGCAAACGCAAGGCAUGCACGAAUCUCAUUUAUCGAGGUGACACGAUUUGUCUGAGACAUCCUGACACUCAGAUAUUAUCUGCAAAAAAGUUGGAAGAUUUGAUCUGCAAAGCAUCUUUUGGGCGUCACGGCGCACAAACAUGAGAUCUGACGUCUUGAGACGUAAGUAGAACGAGGUACGUGUAGUCAGCCCAAGAAACGAGUGGGCGGAAGCGAGCGUAAGCGAAAGAAAGGAGAUCGAUGAAAGAUACGACGAAAUAUGAGUCGUUUUCCCCUACGUUGCCAUAAAAGUUUUUCGUUUUAGACAUCUUUUAUGUUAUCAAAGGCCAUCUUAUACUAAUCAAAGGCAAUAUCUACGUUUCACUAAGUAUAAAAUAUUAUUUUGGAAAAAGUAUAUCAAUAGUCGAGGUGUUUAAAAGUAGAGAUAAAUUUAAAGAUAGCGUCAGCAGAGCUACUAUUUCUGUAACUUAAUGUCUACUUAGAAGUUUUAUCUAUUUAGACCCAAUUACACCUUGGUCUGAGACAACUUGAAAAUUCUAAUUUUAAUGAAGCUUUGCCAACUUCUCUGGGAGAAUCUCUGUAAUGUAAGCAAGUAUAUAAGGAAAUUAUUCUAGGAUUCAAAUCAGAAGUUUAUAUGUAUAUCAAAA